AGCUUCUGUUGGUCGAGUAAAGUA
rnacentral:siRNA from 1 species